GGAAAGGCUCCUGCUUGCAGGGGUACUCGAGUGGCGAACGGGUGAGUAACACGUGGGUGAUCUGCCUUGUACUUCGGGAUAAGCCUGGGAAACUGGGUCUAAUACCGGAUAGGACCAUGCUUUAGUGUGUGUGGUGGAAAGUUUUUUCGGUACAAGAUGAGCCCGCGGCCUAUCAGCUUGUUGGUGGGGUAAUGGCCUACCAAGGCGACGACGGGUAGCCGGCCUGAGAGGGUGUACGGCCACAUUGGGACUGAGACACGGCCCAGACUCCUACGGGAGGCAGCAGUGGGGAAUAUUGCACAAUGGGCGCAAGCCUGAUGCAGCGACGCCGCGUGAGGGAUGACGGCCUUCGGGUUGUAAACCUCUUUCGCUAGGGAAGAAGCCAUUGUGGUGACGGUACCUGGAUAAGAAGCACCGGCUAACUACGUGCCAGCAGCCGCGGUAAUACGUAGGGUGCAAGCGUUGUCCGGAAUUACUGGGCGUAAAGAGCUCGUAGGUGGUUUGUCGCGUCGUCUGUGAAAUCCCGGGGCUUAACUCCGGGCGUGCAGGCGAUACGGGCAUAACUGGAGUGCUGUAGGGGAGACUGGAAUUCCUGGUGUAGCGGUGAAAUGCGCAGAUAUCAGGAGGAACACCGAUGGCGAAGGCAGGUCUCUGGGCAGUAACUGACGCUGAGGAGCGAAAGCAUGGGUAGCGAACAGGAUUAGAUACCCUGGUAGUCCAUGCCGUAAACGGUGGGCGCUAGGUGUGGGGAUCUUUCUACGAUUUCCGUGCCGUAGCUAACGCAUUAAGCGCCCCGCCUGGGGAGUACGG
rnacentral:rRNA from 1 species